GAUCAUGGCUCAGAUUGAACGCUGGCGGCAGGCCUAACACAUGCAAGUCGAACGGUAGCACAGGAGAGCUUGCUCUCUGGGUGACGAGCGGCGAACGGGUGAGGAACACGUGAAGAAUCUGCCCUCCACUUUGGGAUAACACAGGGAAACCUGUGCUAAUACCGAAUAUUGAAACAUAAGUGGCAUCACUGAGUUUUGAAAGAAUUUCGGUGGAGGAUGACUUCGCGGCCUAUCAGCUAGUUGGUGAGGUAAUGGCUCACCAAGGCAACGACGGGUAGCCGGCCUGAGAGGGCGACCGGCCACACUGGGACUGAGACACGGCCCAGACUCCUACGGGAGGCAGCAGUGGGGAAUAUUGGGCAAUGGAGGAAACUCUGACCCAGCGACGCCGCGUGCGGGAUGAAGGCCUUCGGGUUGUAAACCGCUUUCAGUAGGGAAGAAGCGAAAGUGACGGUACCUACAAAAGAAGCACCGGCUAACUAUGUG
rnacentral:rRNA from 1 species